UACGGGAGGCAGCAGUGGGGAAUAUUCCACAAUGGGGGGAACCCUGAUGGAGCGACGCCGCGUGAGUGAAGAAGGGCUUCGGCUCGUAAAGCUCUUUUGUCUUUGACGAAUGACUUAUUGGAUAAGUAGAGACGGUAGAAGGCGAAUAAGCCACGGCUAACUACGUGCCAGCAGCCGCGGUAAU
rnacentral:rRNA from 1 species